rnacentral:rRNA from 1 species
AUACGUAGGGGACAAGCGUUAUCCGGAUUUACUGGGUGUAAAGGGAGCGUAGGCGGCCAACCAAGUCAGAAGUGAAAUCCCACGGCUCAACUGUGGGCGUGCUUUUGAAACUGGAGGGCUUGAGUACUGGAGGGGCAAGCGGAAUUCCUGGUGUAGCGGUGAAAUGCAUAGAUAUCAGGAAGAACACCGGAGGCGAAGGCGGCUUGCUGGACAGAUACUGACGGUGAGGGGCGAAGUCGUGGGGAGCAAACAGGAAUAGAUACCCUGGCAGUCCACGCGGUAAACGAUUGGUGCUAAGUAGUUGUAUCCAUAGGGUAUCGGUGCCGCAGUUAACGCAAUAAGCAUUCCACCUGGGGAGUACGUUCGCAAGAAUGAAACUCAAAUGAAUUGACGGGG